UAAUACGGAGGGUGCAAGCGUUAAUCGGGAUUACUGGGCGUAAAGCGCACGCAGGCGGUUUGUUAAGUCAGAUGUGAAAUCCCCGGGCUCAACCUGGGAACUGCAUUUGAAACUGGCAAGCUAGAGUCUCGUAGAGGGGGGUAGAAUUCCAGGUGUAGCGGUGAAAUGCGUAGAGAUCUGGAGGAAUACCGGUGGCGAAGGCGGCCCCCUGGACGAAGACUGACGCUCAGGUGCGAAAGCGUGGGGAGCAAACAGGAUUAGAUACCCUGGUAGUCCACGCUGUAAACGAUGUCGAUUUGGAGGUUGUGCCCUUGAGGCGUGGCUUCCGGAGCUAACGCGUUAAAUCGACCGCCUGGGGAGUACGGCCGCAAGGUUA
rnacentral:rRNA from 1 species